UACGAGGGGGGCAAGUGUUGUUCGGAAUUACUGGGCGUAAAGGGCGCGUAGGCGGAUGUUUAAGUCGGGGGUGAAAGCCCGGGGCUCAACCUCGGAAUUGCCUUCGAUACUGGACAUCUUGAGUACGGGAGAGGUGAGUGGAACUCCGAGUGUAGAGGUGAAAUUCGUAGAUAUUCGGAAGAACACCAGUGGCGAAGGCGACUCACUGGCCCGUUACUGACGCUGAGGCGCGAAAGCGUGGGGAGCAAACAGG
rnacentral:rRNA from 1 species